AAUUUGUAGCAAAAGUUGUACGACGUGACUGUUGACGACUUGAUUGGAAUGUCAGAUAAAGUCAAAUGGAUUUCAGCGUAAAUUAAGUUGCCAGAAAAAUGGAGAAUUUCCACCCAACACCCAGCUGCUGUCUAAGCUUUUUUUUUAUUAUCCUAAAUUUUUGAGGGAAAAUGGUGUAAAAAAUAUACAUUUUUGGUCUAGUUUGGAGAUUUUAUAUUGAUUCUAAAAAAAAUAAAUAUUCACCAUAAGAACUGAUGAAAGCCCAAGAAGGAAGGAUUAUCCUUUUCUUUCCGAAAUAAAAAGGAUAAAAUUAAAUGAUACAAAACCGGUUAGACCGGUCGUAUCCAUGACGAAAUAUUGUGGUAUUUUUUAUGAAAAUAUUUGAUCCAUUUCGCAUAUGAAUAUCUCCGGUGAAUGGGAAUAAAUUAAACCCCUUUCGGGAUGCAGCUGGCCAAGUUUCGGGCAUAUUCAGAGCGCGACGAAGGAAAAACA
rnacentral:sRNA from 1 species